AUUUAUAUAAUUUAUAGAGAAUGUUGCAUUGAAGCUGCAAAAGAGACUUGUUAAGUCUGUAAAUG
rnacentral:tRNA from 1 species